AGAACGAACGCUGGCGGCAUGCCUAAUACAUGCAAGUCGAACGAACUCUUCGGAGUUAGUGGCGCACGGGUGCGUAACGCGUGGGAAUCUGCCCCUUGGUUCGGAAUAACAGUUGGAAACGACUGCUAAUACCGGAUGAUGACGAAAGUCCAAAGAUUUAUCGCCAAGGGAUGAGCCCGCGUAGGAUUAGCUAGUUGGUGAGGUAGAGGCUCACCAAGGCAACGAUCCUUAGCUGGUCUGAGAGGAUGAUCAGCCACACUGGGACUGAGACACGGCCCAGACUCCUACGGGAGGCAGCAGUAGGGAAUAUGGACAAUGGGCGAAAGCCUGAUCCAGCAAUGCCGCGUGAGUGAUGGAACGGUCCG
rnacentral:rRNA from 1 species